UCUGUCUCUUCAGCUCUGUGAAGCUGCCUCACCGUUUGGGAGUUCUCCCUCCCUGGACUGUAGCCCAGGAGUUACCUCUCGGCAGAAAGGCCAGCUGAUGCGCAGAGAAGUGAAGAGAAGGCCAAGCUAUCAGGGUUUCCUACAGCCUGCAUCAACUCCACAAAAAUAAGCAAUAAAAUAUUUGCACAUUGUGGUCUA